rnacentral:rRNA from 1 species
GAUGAACGCUGGCGGCGUGCUUAACACAUGCAAGUCGAACGGUAAGGCCCCUUCGGGGGUACACGAGUGGCGAACGGGUGAGUAACACGUGGGCAAUCUGCCCCUCACACCGGGGUAACUCGGGGAAACCCGAGCUAAUACCGGAUACUUCGUCGAGGUCGCAUGGCCAUGACGAGAAAGCUCCGACGGUGAGGGAUGAGCCCGCGGCCCAUUAGCUUGUUGGUGAGGUAACGGCUCACCAAGGCGACGAUGGGUAGCCGAGCGGAGAGGCUGAUCGGCCACACUGGGACUGAGACACGGCCCAGACUCCUACGGGAGGCAGCAGUGGGGAAUCUUGCGCAAUGGGCGAAAGCCUGACGCAGCAACGCCGCGUGCGGGAUGAAGGCUCUCGGGUCGUAAACCGCUUUCAGCAGGGAUGAAACUGACAGUACCUGCAGAAGAAGCCCCGGCUAAAUACGUGCCAGCCGCCGCAGUAAUAC